GUUUGCACUUAUCGGGGAAGGGUGAGAACCUUCGAUUAAGGUUCGACUCGGAGCGAAAGCGAGAGAACGUUGCCAACGGCAACGGCCCGUAGGGUGAGGAGCGAAGUGACAAAUAAUCCUUCCCCCACCACCA
rnacentral:sRNA from 1 species